rnacentral:rRNA from 1 species
GAGAAUGCCGGUGUGAGUAGCGAAAGACGGGUGAGAAUCCCGUCCACCGAUUGACUAAGGUUUCCAGAGGAAGGCUCGUCCGCUCUGGGUUAGUCGGGUCCUAAGCUGAGGCCGACAGGCGUAGGCGAUGGAUAACAGGUUGAUAUUCCUGUACCACCUAUAAUCGUUUUAAUCGAUGGGGGGACGCAGUAGGAUAGGCGAAGCGUGCGAUUGGAUUGCACGUCUAAGCAGUAAGGCUGAGUAUUAGGCAAAUCCGGUACUCGUUAAGGCUGAGCUGUGAUGGGGAGAAGACAUUGUGUCUUCGAGUCGUUGAUUUCACACUGCCGAGAAAAGCCUCUAGAUAGAAAAUAGGUGCCCGUACCGCAAACCGACACAGGUAGUCAAGAUGAGAAUUCUAAGGUGAGCGAGCGAACUCUCGUUAAGGAACUCGGCAAAAUGACCCCGUAACUUCGGGAGAAGGGGUGCUCUUUAGGGUUAACGCCCAGAAGAGCCGCAGUGAAUAGGCCCAAGCGACUGUUUAUCAAAAACACAGGUCUCUGCUAAACCGUAAGGUGAUGUAUAGGGGCUGACGCCUGCCCGGUGCUGGAAGGUUAAGAGGAGUGGUUAGCUUCUGCGAAGCUACGAAUCGAAGCCCCAGUAAACGGCGGCCGUAACUAUAACGGUCCUAAGGUAGCGAAAUUCCUUGUCGGGUAAGUUCCGACCCGCACGAAAGGCGUAACGAUUUGGGCACUGUCUCAACGAGAGACUCGGUGAAAUCAUAGUACCUGUGAAGAUGCAGGUUACCCGCGACAGGACGGAAAGACCCCGUGGAGCUUUACUGUAGCCUGAUAUUGAAAUUCGGCACAGCUUGUACAG